rnacentral:rRNA from 1 species
GACAGAGGUGCCGAGCGUUAGGCGGAAUCACUGGGCUUAAAGCGUGUGUAGGCGGAUCCGUAAGUACCUUGUGAAAUCCCACGGCUCAACCGUGGAACUGCUUGGUAUACUGCGGGUCUUGAGCCAUCUAGGGGCAACCGGAACAAACGGUGGAGCGGUGAAAUGCGUAGAUAUCGCUUGGAACGCCGAAGGUGAAAACAGGUCGCUGGGGAUGUGCCGACGCUGAGACACGAAAGCCAGGGGAGCAAACGGG